rnacentral:rRNA from 7 species
UGACCUCGGAUCAGGUAGGGAUACCCGCUGAACUUAAGCAUAUCAAUAAGCGGAGG